CAUCUGCCAUCCUGUUAAGAGGUGCUUUCCGCCGUGAUUUUAAAUUCCUGAGGCCUCCCCAGCCAUGCAGAACUUCAAUGCCUGUCGAUUAGGAGAAGCCGCAGAUUCAGCCCAGGAGUAUUUUCAUCUUAGAUAUGGUUGCGUGAUGACUGGCAGAAAAUACUAUACAGUGAGGUACCUGACAUCCUCUUGCUAUCUAACUCAUCUAUCCCGUCUUCACAGAAGCCAUGUAGGGGAGAGUUCAGGUCUCUCUUCCCCAAGGUCCUGAAUUUCCUGCUGAUGCCUCACAUGGAUUGCUGCUGCCUUAUCCAGUCAUCCUAUAGCUUGCCCCAAACACCCUCCUGUGCCCCACACUGUUGGUGAUGGAGAAUCAUUGAUGAUGCAUCUACCAUUUAGCGAUACUCUGCAGAAUGUCUUCUGGGCUCUGAUUUCAGUCUGGAAUGAAGCUCCAUCUGUUUUCCAGUAUUCAAGGAAGAAGAGGAACCAACACUUGGAGAAAAUUUGAAGACCAAGUGAUGGAUUUCCUACAAG